UGCUCUCAUCCCUCUGUGUGUUCUGGUCUGUCCUAGGAAUCUACAUGAUCUUUGUGAGUUUGACCCUGCUGGGCUUCUACACAAAACGAGGUUCCUGUCUCCUGAGGUGCCCUAAAGCUGAGGUCUGCCUUUCAUCUGGUAGCGAGAAACUGCUUCUCGAGGACAGCAAAGCAGCCUUUGUUCUGGUCCUUGUCAGACACAAUCUGUGUCUGGAGAAGUCUUAUUUCCAUGCAGUUUUAGGUGUCUGCAAGACCCUUUGGAACAUCCCCAGCAUGGUGGUGCAGGUUUUGGAAGGAUUCCAAGGGGCUUUUGUGGAACAUGUGAAGAUGUGAAUUUCAGUUAUCCUGAGAAAAGCUGCUGAGUGAAUAGUCCCACAGAACAUGACUGCAUUCAGACACUAAUGAUCUAUUUUGUGCACCAACAAAAUGUUGUACUCUUGAAUUUUUCCAAAUGUUGAUGAAAACAUAUUUGGUAGUAAACUGACAAUUAUUUUCAAAAUUUUAAUCUGCUACACCCUUAUUCUGUGUUUAAUACUUGAGGAAAAGAAUGGCUUGCAAAUGGAUGCACUAAUAAUAGCUGAUUAAAAUGCAUUAAUUUAACAUCACCAAAUAAUCAUCAUUAAUUUAAUUCCACUACAUCAUAAAAUGUCUAAUUCCUCUGCAACCAGUCCACAUUCAAAUUGAUAAAAGAGACAAGAAUAGUUUAGAAAGUCUCAUUAAGUCUCAAAGAUACAGUUUAUUUUUUGUGUGUGAAGUUAAUGUCUUUAAUCAAUUAAAAUGCAAUGAACACUAUGGUAAGAAUACUGAGAUUACACAGGCAGACACAGAUGAUAAAAUGCCAUGUGAAGCAUCCCCUCCUGUCAGUGCUCUUCCCAGUUUGAAUUCCCCAGGGGCUGCAUUUUAAUCUGCUGUGCCUAAGCCCAGCCACUAAAUCCUCAGCAGAACUAGAGAUAUACCUGUAGCUUUAAUUUACAGCUGCUGUAUUUUAUGGCCUGUACAAAUUAGAUAGUGUUCUUUAUUAACUCCAUUGUCACAAACACUUUUUUAUGUAAUCAGAUUAUAUUUUUUUUUAAUAGUUCAUGCUAAUUUUCUGUCACACCAAUUUUUGAAAGUCCUCCCUGAGACUUUCAAGUAACACUUUCUCUCUAGCUUGGCAAUUGUGCCAAAAAAAAAAUAUAAAAAUCUCAGUUCUUCUAAUAAUGGUUAUUUAUCUACUAGUGCCUACCUUCCAUUCUGUUAGAACACCCAGUGUUUGCUCAUGAAAUAGGGAGUUAAUCGGUUUAAUGAGACAUUUUAAAUGGUUUCCAUAGAUCUAAUUUAUUA
rnacentral:lncRNA from 1 species